rnacentral:rRNA from 1 species
UUCCUACGGGACGCAGCAGUGAGGAAUAUUGGUCAAUGGGCGGAAGCCUGAACCAGCCAAGUCGCGUGAGGGAAUAAGGCCCUACGGGUCGUAAACCUCUUUUGCCGGGGAGCAAGGGCGGGGACGUGUCCCGGCCCGGAGAGUACCCGGAGAAAAAGCAUCGGCUAACUCCGUGCCAGCAGCCGCGGUAAUACGGAGGAUGGGAGGGUUAUCCGGAUUUUUUGGGUUUAAAGGGUGGGUAGGCGGGGUUUUAAGUUAGUGGUAAAAAUUUGGGGUUAA